rnacentral:misc_RNA from 1 species
UCUCCGUUGGUGAACCAGCGGAGGGAUCAUUACCGAGUUUACAACUCCCAAACCCAAUGUGAACGUUACCAAACCGUUGCCUCGGCGGGGUCACGCCCCGGGUGCGUCGCAGCCCCGGAACCAGGCGCCCGCCGGAGGAACCAACCAAACUCUUUCUGUAGCCCCCUCGCGGACGUUAUUUCUUACAGCUCUGAGCAAAAAUUCAAAAUGAAUCAAAACUUUCAACAACGGAUCUCUUGGCUCCC